rnacentral:misc_RNA from 1 species
UCUUUUCAGAGAUUGGGAUUGCCCUGUUGAAGACAUUCCCGCUGCUGCCAAAAACCAGAAUAACCCAAACAAGCUAAAUUGCAGCUAAUACGAAGUACCAAGUUCCUAUUUAAACAAGCGAAAUAAGCCAUUUUGCAUACAGGGAAAUUGCAAUAAAGCAGAUAACAAUCCAGAAUCAAAACGCUCUAGAGAGCUCAAAUGAUAUAUUUUGCAGAGAUUUUAAACCUUAAAACCCAAGAGUUCAAGUGGAUGUCAGUGUGUGACCCCGCCCAUUGCACGCGAGUCAUUUUGGUAACCCAAAUUCCCAAGUUCGGGUUAUUCAGGUUUUACUGGGUUUAACGUAAAUUGCACGCUUUCCACAGAAUAACAUUACAAGAAAAGAAACGGAAGAGAAGAAGAUGACAAGUGAUUACAAAUACAAUCAACAAGGACAAAAACAGCAAUACAGAGAUAACCUGAUAGCUGGAACUUGAUGGAAGAACAAGAUGAGAAAGUUGUACCUUUGGUUUUAGCUCAGAGAGAGAAAGAGAUCCACAAAGUACUAAAUUGAGCUCUGAAAUUGCAACGAUGAAAGAGGGAAAGAAAGAAUGCCCUUGAAAUAACAGAAAUUGAGAUGCCCUUGAAAUAACAGAAAUUGAGUGUGACUAAAUUCUAGGGUUUUAAGGAUAAGAACAAUUUUAUGUACUUCCACGAAAACGGCAGCGUUUUUUUUUUUUUCUUCAAACGACU